AUUGAACGCUGGCGGCAUGCCUUACACAUGCAAGUCGAACGGCAGCGCGGACUUCGGUCUGGCGGCGAGUGGCGAACGGGUGAGUAAUACAUCGGAACGUACCCUGUUGUGGGGGAUAACUUGUCGAAAGAUUAGCUAAUACCGCAUACGACCUGAGGGUGAAAGUGGGGGACCGCAAGGCCUCACGCAGCAGGAGCGGCCGAUGUCUGAUUAGCUAGUUGGUGGGGUAAAGGCCCACCAAGGCGACGAUCAGUAGCUGGUCUGAGAGGACGAUCAGCCACACUGGGACUGAGACACGGCCCAGACUCCUACGGGAGGCAGCAGUGGGGAAUUUUGGACAAUGGGGGCAACCCUGGUCCAGCAAUGCCGCGUGUGUGAAGAAGGCCUUCGGGUUGUAAAGCACUUUUGUCCGGAAAGAAAUCGCGCUGGUUAAUACCUGGCGUGGAUGACGGUACCGGAAGAAUAAGCACCGGCUAACUACGUGCCAGCAGCCGCCGUAA
rnacentral:rRNA from 1 species